AUUCCGGUUGAUCCUGCCGGACCCUACUGCUAUCGGGUGGAGACUAAGCCAUGCAAGUUGUGCGCCUCCUAGCCAUGUUGGAGACGCAGCGUACGGCUCCGUAACACGUAGUUAAUCUGCCCUUGGGACGGGAAUAAUCCUGGGAAACUGGGGCUAAUUCCCGAUAGGCGCAGUGGCCUGGAAUGGUACUGCACUCAAAAGGCUUUAAGAACAUGCUUUUGGAGCUGCCCAAGGAUGAGACUGCGGCCGAUCAGGUUGUUGGUGGGGUAACUGCCUACCAAGCCUAUAACCGGUACGGGCCCUGAG
rnacentral:rRNA from 1 species